GAUGAAGAACGCAGCGAAAUGCGAUAAGUAAUGUGAAUUGCAGAAUUCAGUGAAUCAUCGAAUCUUUGAACGCACAUUGCGCCCGCCAGUAUUCUGGCGGGCAUGCCUGUUCGAGCGUCAUUUCAACCAUCAAGCCCCCGGCUUGUGUUGGGGACCUGCGGCUGCCGCAGGCCCUGAAAACCAGUGGCGGGCUCGCUAGUCACUCCGAGCGUAGUAGUUACAUCUCGCUCAGGGCGUGCUGCGGGUUCCGGCCGUUAAAAGCCUUAUUUCCCCAAGGUUGACCUCGGAUCAGGUAGGAAGACCCGCUGAACUUAAGCAUAUCAAUAAGCGGAGGA
rnacentral:misc_RNA from 1 species